UGAGCAAUCUGCCCUUCACAUCGGAAUAAGCGUUGGAAACGACGUCUAAUGCCGAAUACGACCUCCUUUCGCAUGAUCGGAGGUGGAAAGCUCCGGCGGAGAAGGAUGAGCUCGCGGCCUAUCAGUUAGUUGGUGUGGGUAAUGGCCCACCAAGGCGACGACGGGUAGCCGGCCUGAGAGGGUGACCGGCCACACUGGGACUGAGACACGGCCCAGACUCCUACGGGAGGNAG
rnacentral:rRNA from 1 species